GUGAUAAUUUUGACAGCACAUAUACAAAAAUUGGAACGAUACAGAGAAGAUUAGCAUGGUCCCUGCACAAAGGUGACAUGCAAAUUCACAAAGCAUUCCAUAUUUUC